rnacentral:lncRNA from 1 species
CCAAAAAACCAUUCCCCACCCGAUCCAUUUCUCUGUCGCUCAAAACGACGGCGUCCCCUCAUCAUCUAAUCUUGGGUGUCAAUUUUCCUUGAUCUAACAACUAUAUUUGGCUCUUGGGUUAAUAAUAAAACUGUCCUAAUAUAAGUAUAGCCAUAAGCGACCAUAUUCAUCUUCCUUGUAUCUCUCUGAAACACCACCGGUGGAGCCGCCACCGGUGAACGUCGUCGUCACCAUUCACGCCCAAAUUAACGUGAUCCUCUCCUCUCCCUCAUCUCUAAUCUACAAACAGCUUCCUUCAAAAUCCAUCCCAACUCUUCGAAUAUCCCAUUAAUGUUUUCUAGCCACGAUAUCCCUCGCCCCAAAUCGACCCAAAUUAACACCCUAGGUUUUCCUGAGCCUCCUCUACCCAACCCCCAUAACUGUAUGUCUCGAAGCUUUCCGGAACUACUCAUAUGGAGAUUUUUAAAUUCUCCGGCCAAACCCUAAAUAACCUAAUCCUUAGUAAUUGAGUACGAUAGGAUCCCUGGACCUCUUUUGUGGGAAUUUGAUCGUCAAUAAAGCUUGAAUGUCACUGGAAAUGGCCAAAUUGGAGAGUGCGUAAACUAGCCGGUUUUCGUUUAAGUAAGUACUUGCCCUUCAUUUCUUGUUUUUUUUCUUCUGUCAAGCUUCUGUCCCUAUUCUUCUUACUAGCAUGAGAAAUUAGUUAGAUUGCUAGAAUAAUUUUGAUGAUAAUUAGUUUUCAUGAUUAGUUGAUGCUGAGAAUUCCGAUUGGUUAUGUUUUUUUAUUUCAACACUGAUUUGGUUUAAUUUAAUUUAGUUUAAUUUUAGUUGAUUGUUGGUUCUGUUAAUUUGGUUAAUAGAUUAGGUAUUAGUUUAGUUAAACUUUAUAAUAGUUUUGAUGUAGUUAUACUGAUAAUAGCAAGGGUAAUUUCAAGCUAGUUUAGAAUAGAAUAGAAAAACUAGAAUUCACUAUGAUGUUAUGGAAGGGGUUCAAAGUGAAAAUCAGAAAAGUAGAUAGGAUAGCUUGAUUAACAAGAAAAAAACCUUAAGGACUAAGUUAAAAAUAACAUAGGGACUAGAGUGCAAUCCCAAAAUCUGAAGUGUUCCCCUAUAGGCCUAUAAAAGGGCACUGUAUUGCCUUGUGAAGGGGUCCUUCUUUCAGCCAAAAAUUCCCCCUCACCAGCAUUUUCUCGAUUUCAAGAUCUGAAACUAGAAUUCAAACUCAAAAAAACCAAAAACAACAUGAAAAUUCAAAAUUAAAAAAAGGUAGUUACUGUUUCAUUUGGAAUUUCCAGUUUGGUUUCAAGUUUCAUAGUUUCAAAUUUUGCUGUUUGAGAUUCCAAGGGUAUACUAGACUGAUCUUGGUAAAGAGGAUCCAAUCUAGUUGGUCUUUUAUCGAUCUAUAGUUGUGUUUAAUGCAUUGAUCAUUCUGGAUAAUUUUAAAGAUUUUUGGGUCUAUUUUGGAAUCGUGUCAGGUCUAAUCUCUUGUUUUGGUUGAUUUCAACAUCUUCUGGGCUAUAACUUGAUUCCCUGGGCUGUGUAUUAUUGUUGUUCGCAUAUAUGUUGGUUUGCUGUGGUAUUGCUGCUGCUGAUUUUCUUCUUCUGUUGAAUAUCUAUUUCCAGGUACCAUGUUGAACUCGUUGUAAUGUAAUUGUGAGCUGGAAGACGAAAUAAAGAAGUUUCAUCGAUUUUAUGUGUUAGUUAAUGCCUCCUAUUGAUUGCUAGAUUGUAAUUAAGUUUUGUUAUAGUUGUAUUGAUAUUGCAUAAGGCUAUACGUAUUUCGUUGUAGUUAUAAGGUUGUAAAAUUAGAGCAUUGGUAGUGCUUGGAAUUGAUUAAGCUGGAAUCACUAGCGAAAAUAAAAAAGAUUUCAUAAUUGAGUUGAUCAUUUUUAGUUUACCUGAGUAAUGGAAUACAAUAUCAACAUCAUGUUCACCUAAUUAAUGUACAGUAAUUUGGAUAACUUGAGUUGGAAUAAUUGGUCCAUUCUGUGUUUAUAAAUCACAUUCCAUUUGGCUGUGUCAUUACGUUAUUAACAUCUGAGGACUCAAUGUGAAAUGAGUGGGCGGAAUAGAUGGAAUUACGUUUUACGGUUCCUUUAGUAAUUGUGUACCAUCUUCUUUUGCUACGAUCAUUGAAUACUUAGAAUAAAAUCAGAGAGAAUUUUCCGGCGUGUCUGGGCUGUGGAUUUUGGCCCUAAUUCUAAUUAGAAGUUUAUUGUAGAGACGCAACGUGAAGAUUCCAUGAACUGGUCACACGCAUGCCAUGUGAUUGUGGACUUUCGGGUGGAAUUUUGGAAUGUCUCUACCCAGACUCGAUAUCUGAUCUGCACACAAUGAGAAAAUAUAUGGGAUUGGGCUCUUUUCACAAGCCCAGUUUAGUGAGCCAACAAUUUGGGCUUAGUUC